rnacentral:tRNA from 1 species
CGGUGGGAAGCUAAGCGGCUAGCGCUUGUUGCGUGAGAAUCAAAUCCUAGCCGGGGAAAAAUUUCCCUGAGGUAGCUGGAAUUUGAUUUGUUUUUCCGCAAGGAAGAGGUCGAGGGUUCGAUUCCCUCCCCACCGA